CUUUCCCUGGACAGGCUCUGUCUGUCGGCACAGGCUCUGCUGAAGGGGCUCUGUCUGGCAAGGGGUCCGUACUCCUGGGGUGUAGCCUCCCCACUCACAGAGUCUCUGCCAACAUUCCCAGUUGCAAGAAAUACCCCUGGUGAAUGUGUUUGGGUUCUAUAAAUACAACAACAGGCACAUAUGUUGUCACUCAGGAACCUUCAUUGGUUUUUGGAAACCUUUUCAUUUUUGGAAGUUACCAGACAAAGUCAGCCAGAUGCACAUAGGCGUCUCCUGCUUUAUGGCAUAACAUCAAAGGAAUUUUAUCCUUCAGGACAGCAUCAGCAGCCCUAACCUGACAGUAAGAACUGCACAAAUGGAGUGCUGUAAAUGGAGCACCGCUUACUUCACUAGAACUCCUCAUAUGAGGAGAGGUUCACCUAUGUGGGACUUAUGUGUUCAUACAACAGACAGUUAAAAUAAAAAAAAUGAGUAGUCAUUUAUAGCAACUCUUCAUUAAAACAUUUUCAAAAUGUG